GUAAGCUCCGCGCUGGUUCCCUCGAGCCUAGGCCCGAUUAAUUUCUCGUCUCAAACCACGCCUCUUUCUCUCUUCAGACGAUGACCCAGUGUGCGCGCGCGCCAACGCGCCUAGAAAAAUUUGCGCGCGCUUCUACAUUUAAAAUAACGGAUAUUCGCGAGUGGAGGGAGUGCAGGAAGAAUCAGUGAGGGACUUUUGGCAGCAGAGAUACAGCUGUUUCAGAUGAGCAGGAAAGACAACAACGAGAGGCAAAUAGGGAAGUUUCUCUGACUCACUGUGAAAAAAGAACCCGAAGGCAGAUAUUGUCCACCCACCUGCUGUGUUCGACUCAUAAAAUGCAUGAAAGCGACUCUAAAACGUUGCCUGGGAGACGUGCAGAGACGCAGCGAGACACGGGUCGCGCUCUCUAAAGGACAAGAACGAACAAACUGACAGUUUCCUUCGCUGUUUCCAUGACAUCAUCUGCCCUGUUUUCACAAAACUGGAAUGAUGAAACUGGAAACAUUAUAUGCAUGUGUAUACCUAUCAUAGAGACUACUAGAUGGAGGUUUACUGAAAUAUUUGUAUUUUCGGCUUAGUAUUGAAGAUUGGGUGAGAUGUUGAUAAGGCAUUUAUUUUAUAAAGACAAAAAAAAUAAAGCACUUGUAAACUAGG